rnacentral:rRNA from 1 species
CCUGAGUACGACGGAGCACGUGAAAUUCCGUCGGAAUCUGGGAGGACCAUCUCCUAAGGCUAAAUACUCUCUAGUGACCGAUAGUGAACCAGUACCGUGAGGGAAAGGUGAAAAGUACCCCGGAAGGGGAGUGAAAGAGAACUUGAAACCGUGUGCUUACAAGUAGUCAGAGCCCGUUAAUGGGUGAUGGCGUGCCUUUUGUAGAAUGAACCGGCGAGUUACGAUCUGAUGCAAGGUUAAGCAGAAAAUGUGGAGCCGUAGCGAAAGCGAGUCUGAAUAGGGCGAAUGAGUAUUUGGUCGUAGACCCGAAACCAGGUGAUCUACCCUUGGUCAGGUUGAAGUUCAGGUAACACUGAAUGGAGGACCGAACCGACUUACGUUGAAAAGUGAGCGGAUGAACUGAGGGUAGCGGAGAAAUUCCAAUCGAACUUGGAGAUAGCUGGUUCUCUCCGAAAUAGCUUUAGGGCUAGCCUCAAGUGAUGAUUAUUGGAGGUAGAGCACUGUUUGGACGAGGGGCCCCUCUCGGGUUACCGAAUUCAGACAAACUCCGAAUGCCAAAUAAUUUAACUUGGGAGUCAGAAUGUGGGUGAUAAGGUCCAUAUUCGAAAGGGAAACAGCC